rnacentral:tRNA from 1 species
GAGGUAGUAGCUCAAUGGUAGAGUUCCCGUUUCGUAGGCGGGAAGACGUGGGUUCGAUUCCCGGCUGCUUUC